rnacentral:rRNA from 1 species
GAUGAACGCUGGCGGCGUGCCUAAUACAUGCAAGUCGAGCGAACAGAUAAGGAGCUUGCUCCUUUGACGUUAGCGGCGGACGGGUGAGUAACACGUGGAUAACCUACCUAUAAGACUGGGAUAACUUCGGGAAACCGGAGCUAAUACCGGAUAACAUAUUAACCGCAUGGUUCAAUAGUGAAAGGCGGCUUUGCUGUCACUUAUAGAUGGAUCCGCGCCGUAUUAGCUAGUUGGUAAGGUAACGGCUUACCAAGGCAACGAUACGUAGCCGACCUGAGAGGGUGAUCGGCCACACUGGAACUGAGACACGGUCCAGACUCCUACGGGAGGCAGCAGUAGGGAAUCUUCCGCAAUGGGCGAAAGCCUGACGGAGCAACGCCGCGUGAGUGAUGAAGGUCUUCGGAUCGUAAAACUCUGUUAUCAGGGAAGAACAAAUGUGUAAGUAACUGUGCACAUCUUGACGGUACCUGAUCAGAAAGCCACGGCUAACUACGUG